UUCCAGAUUUGAAAUCAACAAUCUUGAUCUUUAUUUUCUUAGGAAGUUUGUCUAGUAAAUUAAGCAAGACUUUCACUCGUGCCGUACUAGGUAUCGUUCGAUCUUUAGUAGCCUUAUCUACUGCUAGAGGCUUUCCCACUGCAGCGGCGAUUGACAUUAAGGAUUUUUUUGUGAAGAAAUUUGCUGGCAGUUUAGGAAAAGAGAUCCAAACGAC
rnacentral:lncRNA from 1 species